rnacentral:rRNA from 1 species
GGGGAUGACGUCAAGUCAGCAUGGCCCUUACGUCCAGGGCUACACACGUGCUACAAUGGCCGGUACAGAGGGAAGCAAUACCGCGAGGUGGAGCAAAUCCCAUAAAGCCGGCCUCAGUUCAGAUCGGAGGCUGCAACUCGCCUCCGUGAAGGCGGAAUCGCUAGUAAUCGCGGAUCAGCAGGCCGCGGUGAAUACGUUCCCGGGCCUU